UCCAGGAUUUGAAGCUAGACCCAAACCCAGCUCUAGCAUUUAUUAGCUACUGCACUUCGAACAAGUUAACCUCUUUAGGAAUCAAUGAUCUUACCAGAGAAGCACAGACAGACUCUACAAAUUUCUGUUUGAGUGAAGAACAUCAUACCUCCCUUGUGGAAUUGCAACUGCUGAGCCAAUGUGACUUCCUCAGAGCCAUGGGUUCAUUCAGUUCUGUCAUGAGAAAAACAUCAGAAAAUUUCUAGCAGUGGGGCAGCCUACCAAAUAUUUGAUCAGUACUCCUCAAAGCUAUCAAGGUCAUCAAAAACAAGAGACAUCUGAGAAACAGCCACAGUCAAGAA